AGGUGAACCUGCGGAGGGAUCAUUACCGAGUGAAGGGCCCCCGGGCCCGACCUCCCACCCCCUGUUAUCCGACCCAGUUGCCUCGGGGGCGACCCGGCCUUCGGGCGUCGGGGCCCCCGGUGGACCGUCCAACCCCGUCUCCGUGCGUCCGAGUCUGAUUAUGAAUCAAUCAAAACUUUCAACAACGGAUCUCUUGGUUCUGGCAUCGAUGAAGAACGCAGCGAAAUGCGAUAAGUAAUGUGAAUUGCAGAAUUCAGUGAAUCAUCGAAUCUUUGAACGCACAUUGCGCCCCUCGGUAUUCCGGGGGGCAUGCCUGUUCGAGCGUCAUUAUCACCAAUCGAGCCCCGCUCGGUGUUGGGCGCUGCGGCCCGUCCGCACGCCCCAAUGUCCUCCGGCUGGGCCGUCUGUCUCGAAGCGUUGUGGCAACUCAACCCGCUUGUGAGUCUGGACGGUCCGACGCCGCUAAACCUCCACACCAGGUUGACCUCGGAUCAG
rnacentral:rRNA from 1 species